GCCCGGGUGGUGAAAUCGGUAGACACAGGAGACUUAAAAUCUCUCGCCGAAAGGUGUACGGGUUCGAGUCCCGUCCCGGGCA
rnacentral:tRNA from 1 species